GUGGCGCACGGGUGAGUAACACGUGGGUAAUCUGCCCUUGAGACGGGGAUAACAUCUCGAAAGGGGUGCUAAUACCGGAUACGAUGAGAAGUUCGCAAGAUCUUCUCAUGAAAGGUGACCUCUUCCUGAAAGUUGCCGCUCAUGGAUGAGCCCGCGUCCCAUUAGCUUGUUGGUGGGGUAACGGCCUACCAAGGCGAAGAUGGGUAGCUGGUCUGAGAGGAUGAUCAGCCACACUGGAACUGAGAUACGGUCCAGACUCCUACGGGAGGCAGCAGUGGGGAAUAUUGCGCAAUGGGGGAAACCCUGACGCAGCAACGCCGCGUGAGUGAUGAAGGUUUUCGAAUCGUAAAGCUCUGUCAGGUGGGAAGAACAGGUUGAUGCUUAAUACGUAUCGACCUUGACGGUACCACCAGAGGAAGCACCGGCUAACUCCGUGCCAGCAGCCGCGGUAAUACGGAGGGUGCAAGCGUUGUUCGGAAUUAUUGGGCGUAAAGCGCGUGUAGGCGGUGCGGUAAGUCAGGUGUGAAAGCCCUUGGCUCAACCAAGGAAUGUCAUCUGAAACUGCCGGACUUGAGUACGGGAGAGGAGAGUGGAAUUCCCGGUGUAGAGGUGAAAUUCGUAGAUAUCGGGAGGAACACCCGUGGCGAAGGCGACUCUCUGGACCGAUACUGACGCUGAG
rnacentral:rRNA from 1 species